rnacentral:rRNA from 1 species
CAGUAGCCGCGGGAAUACCGAGGGUGCGAGCGUUAAUCGGAUUUACUGGGCGUAAAGCGUGCGUAGGCGGCUUUUUAAGUCGGAUGUGAAAUCCCUGAGCUUAACUUAGGAAUUGCAUUCGAUACUGGGAAGCUAGAGUAUGGGAGAGGAUGGUAGAAUUCCAGGUGUAGCGGUGAAAUGCGUAGAGAUCUGGAGGAAUACCGAUGGCGAAGGCAGCCAUCUGGCCUAAUACUGACGCUGAGGUACGAAAGCAUGGGGAGCAAACAGGAUUAGAUACCCGGGUAGUCCCUGUCUCUUAUAC